rnacentral:rRNA from 1 species
GACGAACGCUGGCGGCGUGCUUAACACAUGCAAGUCGAACGGAAAGGCCCUGCUUUUGUAGGGUGCUCGAGUGGCGAACGGGUGAGUAACACGUGAGUAACCUGCCCUUGACUUUGGGAUAACUUCAGGAAACUGGGGCUAAUACCGGAUAGGAGCUCCUGCUGCAUGGUGGGGGUUGGAAAGUUUCGGCGGUUGGGGAUGGACUCGCGGCUUAUCAGCUUGUUGGUGGGGUAGUGGCUUACCAAGGCUUUGACGGGUAGCCGGCCUGAGAGGGUGACCGGCCACAUUGGGACUGAGAUACGGCCCAGACUCCUACGGGAGGCAGCAGUGGGGAAUAUUGCACAAUGGGCGGAAGCCUGAUGCAGCAACGCCGCGUGCGGGAUGACGGCCGUCGGGUUGUAAACCGCUUUCGCCUGUGACGAAGCGUGAGUGACGGUAAUGGGUAAAGAAGCACCGGCUAACUACGUG